rnacentral:tRNA from 2 species
UCCUGGUUAACUCAGUUGGUAGAGCACUCCGCUGGAAGUGGAGAAGUCCCCGGUUCAAUACCAGGACCAGGCA